rnacentral:snRNA from 1 species
AUACUUACCUGGCAGGGGAGAUACCAUGAUCACGAAGGUGGUUUUCCCAGGGCGAGGCUUAUCCUUUGCACUCCGGAUGUGCUGACCCCUGCGAUUUCCCCAAAUGUGGGAAACUCGACUGCAUAAUUUGUGGUAGUGGGGGACUGCGUUCGCGCUCUCCCCUG